UACACUCCUGCGGGAGGCAGCAGUGGGGAAUAUUGGACAAUGGGCGCAAGCCUGAUCCAGCCAUGCCGCGUGAGUGAUGAAGGCCCUAGGGUUGUAAAGCUCUUUCACCGGUGAAGAUAAUGACGGUAACCGGAGAAGAAGCCCCGGCUAACUUCGUGCCAGCAGCCGCGGUAAUACAAAGGGGGCUAGCGUUGUUCGGAUUUACUGGGCGUAAAGCGCACGUAGGCGGACUAUUAAGUCAGGGGUGAAAUCCCGGGGCUCAACCCCGGAACUGCCUUUGAUACUGGUAGUCUUGAGUUCGAGAGAGGUGAGUGGAAUUCCGAGUGUAGAGGUGAAAUUCGUAGAUAUUCGGAGGAACACCAGUGGCGAAGGCGGCUCACUGGCUCGAUACUGACGCUGAGGUGCGAAAGCGUGGGGAGCAAACAGGAUUAGAAACCCCAGUAGUCCCA
rnacentral:rRNA from 1 species